rnacentral:rRNA from 1 species
GAUGAACGCUGGCGGCGUGCCUAACACAUGCAAGUCGAGCGAACGGACGAGAAGCUCGCUUCUCUGCUGUUAGCGGCGGACGGGUGAGUAACACGUGGAUAACCUACCUAUAAGACUGGGAUAACUUCGGGAAACCGGAGCCCAUACCGGAUAAUAUUUUGAACCGCAUGGUUCAAAAGUGAAAGGUCGUCUUGCUGUCCCUUAUACAUGGUUCCGCGCUGCAUUAGCUAGUUGGUACGGUAACGGCUUACCAAGGCAACGAUGCAUAGCCGACCUGAGAGGGUGAUCAGCCACACUGGAACUGAGACACGGUCCAGACUCCUACGGGAGGCAGCAGUAGGGAAUCUUCCGCAAUGGGCGAAAGCCUGACGGAGCAACGCCGGGUGAGUGAUGAAGGUCUUCGGAUCGUAAAGCUCUGUAAGUAGGGAGGAACAUAAGUGUGAGUAUCUGUGCAGAUCUUGACGGUACCUAAUGAGAAAGCCACGGCUAACUACGUG